rnacentral:lncRNA from 11 species
AUAAAUGUUCAAACUUAUGUGAAUUUGGUCGAGAUCAAGGUAUUUAUAGAAAGGUACAUUGAUCUAAGCAGUCAGUGGAUGCGGGGAAUGAUAAGCAGCGAGGGGGUAGAAAAUGACAGCUGGUGAGUUGGCUGGCUGGCUACUUCCCUUCCCCUCCGCUGAUUGUUCUCGUUUCCAUGGCACAAUUAUUAUUUUGUUAUGUUUUCAAAAACAAAUUGAACAUAUGUACUCUAGCAGAGACAGAUUUCGAGUAGAGAGAUUGAGUGUCGGAAUUGUGCAUUGAAACGAAAUUGAUAUUCAAAAAGGACCUAUAGAAUAAUUUUGUUGCUGCUAAUCUGAUCUGAAAUGGAAUAUGUCAGCUUGUUUGAGACAUCAAUUGGUCACUGUGCUUUACUCGACUGUUUCUUGCAACGGUGACAGACGAAAUAGAGCAUGAAAGUCGCUGAAAUGGUGUCUCAUUUUGAUCGUUUUUCGGAGUUGACCCAGUAACAAUUUUCCAUAUUCGUCAACACUGAUUUUUAUUUGCAGAUUACCUUAAUGUUUUUGUUGUACCAGAAAAAGCUACAAAAUAUAUUUGUUAUUCUUUGAGUUUUCGA